AUGGCUCAGUGGGACGCAAACUCCAUGUCACAAGGGACGUUGUGUUUGAUGAACAGGUUCCUUGGAGCUGGGACGCGGAGGCGGCCACGAAUGCUGCUAGAGUAUCAGGUCGACAACAACAACGUCAACUGCAGGGGCACCGAGCUGCACGCUGGGUGUAGGACGCCAGCGACGCCGGGACCGUUGGAGGAGCCGCGGACGCCAUCAGAAGAGCCGCGAACGCUGGCAACACUGUCGCCCUCGCCUGUACAGUUCGUCUCGCCACCGACAGGCGAGGAGGUUGACACCGAGGGGGUACCUCUACGGUACCGCACCGUGGAGGAUGCCAUCGACCACGCCCAGCCUGUCACGUUGGAGUACAGUGGGCUGUGCUUGGUUGCGGCGGAGGAGCCAGCCAGCGUCGAGCAGGCCCUGAGCGAGGCAUGCUGGAAGGAGGGCAUGGGCGCCGAGAUGAAGGCGAUCACGGAGAACCAGACCCGGGAGUACGCCGAGCUCCCAAGUGGUCACCACGCCAUAGGCCUCAAAUGGGUCUACAAAGUGAAGAAAGAUCCCCAAGGUAAUAUUGUCAAGUACAAAGCUCAUUUAGUGGCCAAGGGUUAUGCGUAG
rnacentral:rRNA from 1 species